AAAAGCUAUAAAUGGUAUAUUCGAAGUAUAAUAAUAGCUUUUGUCCUGGUAUGUAUGUUUGAAUAAGCUAUGAUAUGACACAUUAGGUCUGAGUUAUGUUCAUAUUUUAAAAUAUGCUCAAUUUAACACAUUCACAAAAUUUGACAUCUCUAGCCUGUCAACACUGAGGUUGUGAGUUGUGUAAUACCCUGCUCAUGGUAGGUUUGACAUCUCUAGCCUGUCAACACUGAGGUUGUGAGUUGUGUAAUACCCUGCUCAUGGUAGGUUUGACAUCUCUAGCCUGUCAACAAUGAGGUUGUGAGUUGUGUAAUACCCUGCUCAUGGUAGGUUUGACAUCUCUAGCCUGUCAACAAUGAGAUUGUGAGUUGUGUAAUACCCUGCUCAUGGUAGGUUUGACAUCUCUAGCCUGUCAACAAUGAGGUUGUGAGUUGUGUAAUACCCUGCUCAUGGUAGGUUUGACAUCUCUAGCCUGUCAACACUGAGGUUGUGAGUUGUGUAAUACCCUGCUCAUGGUAGGUAUGUUAAGACUUCUAUCUAAGAUUGCCAAUUUUCCUGCCUAAGGACGGUAAAUCUCUCUGGGUACUCUGGCUUUUUGACCAAUAAGCUACAAAGAUAUAGCAAAGAAUGCUGAAACUGGUGUUAAACACCAAAAAUCAAUCAAUCAAUCCAUAUGAUGUGUGUUAAAGAAGAUGUACAUUGAUUUAGAAAACAUUACAAAUCUUUUAUGAAGCUUUUUACUGUGGUUUAACUGAUCUUAUUUCUAUUU